AAAGAUGAGAGUUUGAUCCUGGCUCAGGACGAACGCUGGCGGCGUGCUUAAGACAUGCAAGUCGAACGGACUUGGUCCUUCGGGAUCAAGUUAGUGGCGGACGGGUGAGUAACACGUGAGCAACCUGCCCUCCGGUCCGGGAUAACACCGCGAAAGUGGUGCUAAUACCGGAUACGCUCCCUAG
rnacentral:rRNA from 1 species